rnacentral:misc_RNA from 1 species
AGGGAUAAAACGAAGGACCGUACGACCGAGUCGGUCAUGUACGGUCCGGGUCGGUCUUUCCUGUGCACGCGUCGUAGGUCUUCGGGCCUACGUUCAUCACCUCGGUGUUCGAACGUCCAUGGACUGUGACCGCCAGACCGUCGUGUCGGGCGAGAACGCA